AUUUAUGUAGUUUAAAAAACAUUACAUUUUCACUGUAAAGAUAAAGGAAACUUUCAUAAAUA
rnacentral:tRNA from 2 species